GACUGGGCUCAGGAAGCUGCUGUGGACCACCAGCCUAGAACUGGCACUGCACACAGUGACCUAGGCGUUCUCACAUCAACCAUCAGUGAAGAAGAUGUACCAAGGGCUUGUCUACCUUGUCGACGUAUCGGAGACGUUUUCUCAAGUGAAGAUCUCUCUCUUCUAAAACGGCGUUAGCUUGCAUCGAGUCGCCUUAUAACUCAGCAUAGGGAAGAACCUUUCCCGAGCACUUAGCCUGUGCAAAACAGAGAAAUCACUGUCGGUCAUCAGCACUUCCUUGGGCAAUGGAGAACUGCCUCGAACAGAGACU
rnacentral:lncRNA from 1 species